rnacentral:rRNA from 1 species
CCUACGGGACGCAGCAGUGAGGAAUAUUGGUCAAUGGCCGGAAGGCUGAACCAGCCAAGCCGCGUGAAGGACGAAGGUGCCAAGCAUUGUAAACUUCUUUUGUCAAGGGACAAAAUCAGGCUCGAGAGCCUGACCGAGGGUACUUGAAGAAAAAGCAUCGGCUAACUCCGUGCCAGCAGCCGCGGUAAUACGGAGGAUGCGAGCGUUAUCCGGAUUUAUUGGGUUUAAAGGGUGCGUAGGUGGUUAAUUAAGUCAGCGGUGAAAGUUUGUGGCUCAACCAUAAAAUUGCCGUUGAAACUGGUUGA